ensembl:lncRNA
GGUUUGAUCCCUGGGCCUGGAAGAUCCCCUGGAGAAGGAAAUGACAACCCAUUCCGGUAUCCUUGCCUGGAGAAUCCCAUGGACAGAGGAGCCUGGCGGGCUACAGUCUAUAGGUGUCACAAAGUGUCAGACAUGACUGAGCAUCCAUGCACACACAGACACUGAGGAGGGAUUGCAAGGAGCCAACCAGUGAAGUUCUGGAAGGUGAACAGGAAACUGUUUUAAGGGGGCUGGAGAGGAGUGUUCUGAGCCUAGAUGACCACGCCUGGGAAAGCUGAGGGGCGAGAGAGCACCUGGUUUGUUUGUAGACCUGAAAUGUGUGUCUAGCAUGACUGAAUAUGGUGUGUGUGGUCCCUGUGAUGAGGAUUCCAGAUUGGAGGAGGGGCGGGCAAUGAGCCAGGAGAGGGCUGAGAAGAGUCCAGGCUGUGAUAAGUACGUGAUGGACCUGGAAUUUAUCUUAAAGACGACAGGAAACUUCUGAAAGAUGUGAUAUGAUCAGUCCUGUGUUUUAGGAAGUUUGCUUUGGCCAUUGUGAGGAGAGCUGAUUGUGGAGAGAAAGAAUGGAAUGGAGGAGAUGGAUAAGAGACCAUGGCUAUAGUCAGACAAGGGAUGAUGGUGGGCUGGACUAAGAAAGUCUGGGUUGGCAAGUAAGCAGGAGCUAGAUGCAUAAAACAGGUAGGGAGAUGAAUAAGAGACCAGGGCUAUAGUCAGAGGAGGGAUCAUGGUGGGCUCUACUAAGAAAGUGCUGGAAGGCAAGUGAGCAGGAGCCAGAUGCAUGAAACAGGUAGGAAAAGGGAGACUGCUGUUAGGUGGGAAGGAGGAUUGGUAAAAAAGGACAGAAGAAUCGUGGACUAUUCCCAGAUUUCCUUCUUGAAUGAUGAGUAGAAGUGGUUGCUAGUCAGUGAGGCUGUUCAGAAAGAUGAAAGCGGGUUUGAGGAAGGCUUCAGUGAUGACUGGGCAGUGUGCAAGGCACAGCGUGUGCUUCCGUGUGGAGAGGUCUAGUGCGUGGUUGAUACGUAAGGCUUGGGUCAAGGAGGAAGAUUUGCACCAAAGCUUUACAUUUCUGCCUUUAACAUACGAUCCACUUUUGAAGUCGUGUUUGUGGAGAUCCCAAGCUCAUCUCUGUUCCAUCUAGCCACAUUUCAAAUGCUCAAUAUUCACCUGUGGUCGGUGGGCUCAGCUCUAAACACCUAGUAUCUGUUAUGGAUUGAAACAUGUUUCCUCAAAAAUUCAGAUGUUGAAGACCUAAACCCCAGUACCUCAAAAAGUGACCUGAUUUGGAGCUGAAGUCUUUACAGAAGUAAUCAAGUUAAAAUGAAGCCUUUAGGAUGCAUCUGAGCAAAGGUCCAUCUAGUCAAGGCUAUGGUUUUUCCAGUGGUCAUGUAUGUAUGUGAGUUGUACUGUAAAGAAAGCUGAGUGCCGAAGAACUGAUGCUUUUGAACUGUGGUGUUGGAGAAGACUCUUGAGAGUCUCUUGGACUGCAAGGAGAUCCUACCAGUCCAUCCUAAAGGAGAUCAGUCCUGAGUGUUCAUUGGAAGGACUGAUGUUGAAACUGAAACUCCAAUACUUUGGCCACCUGAUGCGAAGAGCUGAUUCAUUGGAAAAGACCCUGAUGCUGGGAAAGAUUGAAGGUAGAAGGAGAAGGGAAUGACAGAGGGUGAGAUGGUUGGAUGGCAUCACCGACUCAAUGGACAUGAGUUUGGGUAAACUCUGGGAGUUGGUGAUGGACAGGGAGGCCUGGUAUCCUGUGGACAGUAUCCCACUAGGCCCCUCUGUCCGUGGGAUUUUCUAGGUAAGAAUACUGGAGUGGGUUGACAUUUCCUCCUCCAGAGGAUCUUCAAGACCCUAAGAUUGAAACUUCAUCCCCUGCAGGUGGAUUCUUUUACCAUGGAACCUUCUCAGGUGACACCUAACUGGUCUCUCUUUGGAUUAAAGACGGCAUGGACAGGUUUAUGGGAACUACAAAGUUAUUUCAAGGUAUUUUGAGCCCAACCAAGAAAAGAGAGGUGCUUUCUGUCAUAAAUCUCCUCCUUUUCUAAUACAAAUUCCCCUUUCAGUCUCUU